AACGAACGCUGGCGGCAUGCCUAACACAUGCAAGUCGAACGAGAUCUUCGGGUCUAGUGGCGCACGGGUGCGUAACGCGUGGGAAUCUGCCCUUUGGUUCGGAAUAACAGUUGGAAACGACUGCUAAUACCGGAUGAUGACGAAAGUCCAAAGAUUUAUCGCCAGAGGAUGAGCCCGCGUAGGAUUAGCUAGUUGGAGUGGUAAAGGCGCACCAAGGCGACGAUCCUUAGCUGGUCUGAGAGGAUGAUCAGCCACACUGGGACUGAGACACGGCCCAGACUCCUACGGGAGGCAGCAGUGGGAAAUAUUGGACAAUGGGCGAAAGCCUGAUCCAGCAAUGCCGCGUGAGUGAUGAAGGCCUUAGAGUUGUAAAGCUCUUUUACCCGGGAUGAUAAUGACAGUACCGGGAGAAUAAGCUCCGGCUAACUCCGUGCCAGCCGCCGCCGUAA
rnacentral:rRNA from 1 species